rnacentral:rRNA from 1 species
AGCAGUCGCCGCGGGAAUACGAGGGGGGCAAGCGUUGCUCGGAAUGACUGGGCGUAAAGCGCACGUAGGCGGCUUUGUAAGUUAGAGGUGAAAGCCCGGAGCUCAACUCCGGAAUUGCCUUUAAGACUGCAGAGCUAGCAGGUGAGAGAGGUGAGUGGAAUUCCGAGUGUAGAGGUGAAAUUCGUAGAUAUUCGGAAGAACACCAGUGGCGAAGGCGGCUCACUGGCUCAUACUGGACGCUGAGGUGCGAAAGCGUGGGGAGCAAACAGGAUUAGAUACCCGGGUAGUCCCUGUCUCUUAUAC